UACACGACAAUAUUCUUCUCGAUCUUCUCUCCACAUCUUGCACGCAUCGAUGUUAGCACCACUUUCAUCGUUUGGUUCCGCCAACAUCGACAUUACCGAUAACAGUAUUUUUUCAACAGAUUGAACAGGAGACCAACGUUCUGAAGACGACUCAUACAUAUUUGGAUCGUCACCAGGUGCAUGUAGGAUGGAAAUGCAAACCGUCCCAUCUUUGUAAACUGAAAUGAAGGUUAGUCUCGAAAUUUGGAUUAAUAGUAUCUGGCAUACCAUUUGGAUGGAAAAAUUCACACUCAAACUUUAAAGUAGGGGGGCCAAGAGGAUAAUCCUACAUAAAAAAGUUAGAAUCCAAUAAAAAUAAAACUAAGCACGUAUCAACGUGCGCUUGAACACCCCGGAUGUACUGCCAUGCGAUUCAAAGAAAGAAACCAAACCCCCAAA